CUUGUCGACCUUCUUCUCGUACUUCGGAGCUUCUGGCGCUGCGGUCUUCAGCGCCGAGAGCUGAUCGAGGGACUGCAUGGUAUCGGACAUUAUGCGGCCCUCAUGUGAUUCAUCGAUGCGAUAUCCACGACCUCAGGCUGCUGUGCUUCGUGGGGAUGUUCUGCGCCGGCAUAAACGCGGAGGUUGCCGAGCUGCACACGGCCGAGCGGACCGCGCGGGAUCAUGCGCUCAAUGGCCUUCUCGACGACGCGCUCAGGGAAG
rnacentral:misc_RNA from 1 species